GACAGAGGUGGCGAGCGUUGUUCGGAAUUACUGGGUGUAAAGGGCGUGUAGGCGACCCCUUAAGUUGAAUGUAAAAUCUCCCGGCUCAACUGGGAGGGGUCAUUCAAUACUGAGGGGAUUUGAGGGCAGGAGAGGGAAGUGGAAUUCCCGGUGUAGCGGUAAAAUGCGUAGAUAUCGGGAGGAACACCAGUGGCGAAGGCGGCUUCCUGGUCUGUCCCUGACGCUGAGGCGCGAAAGCCAGGGGAGCAAACGGG
rnacentral:rRNA from 1 species